CCUACGGGAGGCUGCAGUGAGGAAUAUUGGUCAAUGGGCGCGAGCCUGAUGCAGCCAAGUAGCGUGAAGGAUGACUGCCCUACGGGUUGUAAAUUUCUUUUAUAAAGGAAUACAGUGAGGCACGUGUGCCUUUUUGUAUGUACUUUAUGAAUACGGAUCGGCGAAGCCCGCGCCAGCCGCCGCGGUGAUACGGAGGAUCCGAGCGUUAUCCGGAUUUAUUGGGUUUAAAGGGAACGUAGAUGGGUUGUUAAGUCAGUUGUGAAAGUUUGCGGCUCAACCGUAAAAUUGCAAUUGAUACUGGCAGCCUUGAGUACAGUUGAGGUAGGCGGAAUUCGUGGUGUAGCGGUGAAAUGCUUAGAUAUGACGAAGAACCCCGAUGGCGAAGGCAGCUUGCUGCAGCGGAACUGACGCUGAUGCUCGAAAGCGCGGGUAUCGAACAGGAUUAGAUACCCGAGUAGUC
rnacentral:rRNA from 1 species